CCAAUCACAGAGCACCUGCGGGCGCUCGCUCCCCUCGGGGGGCGAGGGCCCGCCGUUUACAGGAUCCGCCGGCGCGUGAGCUCCCCUCGGGGGGCGACCGCGCCGGGCCGGAGCCCUAACCCAUUGAACCCUCUGCCCUGAAGCAGCUUCGCACGGGGACACCCCUGCGAUAGUAACUGAGACAACUCUCAACAACGGAUAUCUUGGCUCUCGCAACGAUGAAGAACGCAGCGAAAUGCGAUACGUAGUGUGAAUUGCAGAAUUCCGUGAGUCAUCGAAUCUUUGAACGCACAUUGCCGGUCGACUCUUCGGAGGAGACCACAUCUGCCUCAGCGUCGGAAUACCCCCUCACGCACCCCCGCGUGGACCUGGCCCCCCCGGACGCCUCGGCGCCCGGGCCGGCUGAAAUACAGAGGCUCGCGCGCGGCCCAUUCGUGGCCCCGACUAGGUAGGUAGCUCGCUACUUCUAGGCGGUGGCUCGGUGUCGCGUGCUGUGGGCCCGAAAGGAUACCAAUCCAUUCAUUCGACCUGAGUUCAGGUGAGGCUACCCGCUGAACUUAAGCAUAUC
rnacentral:rRNA from 1 species